AUUGAACGCUGGCGGCAGGCUUAACACAUGCAAGUCGCGCGAGCGGCGGACGGGUGAGUAAUGUCUGGGAAACCGCCUGAUGGAGGGGGAUAAAUACUGGAAACGGUAGCUAAUACCGCAUACCAUCAGAUGUGCCCAGAUGGGAUUAGCUAGUAGGUGGGGUAAUGGCUCACCCAGGCGACGAUCCCGAGCUGGUCUGAGAGGCUGACCAGCCACACUGGAACUGAGACACGGUCCAGACUCCUACGGUAGGCCUCAGUGGGGAAUAUUGCACAAGGGGCGCAAGCCGGAUGCAGCCAUGCCGCGUGUGUGAAGAAGGCCUUCGGGUUGUAAAGCACUUUCAGCGAGGAGGCGUUACUCGCAGAAGAAGCACCGGCUAACUCCGUGCCAGCAGCCGCGGUAAUAC
rnacentral:rRNA from 1 species